AGUGCUUUCCCUAUCCCAGAUUGCUAUGGUACCUGUAACUCUCUCUGAAGCAGAAAAAUGGCAGUCCAUGAUUAAACAGCCAAUGUCUCAUAGGUUACCCAUUCUCUUUGUGUGGCAUUUCCCCAAUGCUUGUAGAGCUGGCAUCAAAAAAAAAACCCCAAACAAAAACAGUGUUUGAUCUCUCCUUUUGAACCACAGGAAACUGAAUCUAGGGCAGAGUUGGUUGGUGUGUUUCCAGGACAUUUAGAUGAGCUUGUCUGUGAUUGGCUGUGCAACCAGAUGCGACAUUCUGUUUUCUGAAACAGAUCUAGGCUGCAGAGCGUUCCUCUGCGGAGAUCCUUGGGUAGGAUCAAUGGAGAAGAGUCCUUUGGCAGCCUCGUUGCUAAUCUUGUGGCUUCAUCUUGGCCGAGUGUGCAGCGUAUUGGAUGUGAACCAGUAUCCUCUGUCGCUUCAUGUUCACGAAGGAGAAAACACCAAUUUCACCUGCCAUUUUCCUACCAGCAAUUUUUAUGGUUUACAGUGGUACAGAUGGGAACCUGCAAAAAGCCCCAAGUUCCUGUUUACAAUUGCUUUAAAUGGGGAUGAAAAGGAGGAAGGACGAGUAAAAGUCACUCUUGAUACUAAGAAGGGUUCUAGCUCCUUGUACAUCAAAGGAUCCCAGCCGGAAGAUGCUGCCACAUACAUCUGUGCCUUGACAGACACAGUGCUCUCCAGGCACCUGCAGCCCAUACCCAAACCCGUGGCUGGUGCCACGGUGCAACGCUGGUCUCAGCGUUGACAAGUGCCAUGUGCAGGGUGGAAAAGGCAAAUUCAUUGAGUUACAGUGUUUUCAAUAAUCAGAGGAAAGUGCA